rnacentral:rRNA from 1 species
UACGUAGGGGGUAAGCGUUGUCCGGAUUUAUUGGGCGUAAAGAGCGUGUAGGCGGCCAGACAGGUCCGUUGUGAAAACUCGAGGCUCAACCUCGAGACGCCGAUGGAAACCGUCUGGCUAGAGUCCGGAGGAGGAGAGUGGAAUUCCUGGUGUAGCGGUGAAAUGCGCAGAUAUCAGGAAGAACACCCGUGGCUAAGGCGGCUCUCUAGUACGGUACUGACGCUGAGACGCGAAAGCGUGGGGAGCGAACAGG